rnacentral:lncRNA from 1 species
UCCCGAGAGUAGGUGAACUUGGAGUUCCAAAUUCUUCGCUUCAUUAUCGCAAUGGCCGUCACCUCAUCGAGGUCCUUGACCUCUAAGGUAACGGUGUUGAAAUGCACCACAAACUCCCAUAAAGAUUCUCCAUCUUGCUAUCAGAUAGAGAAGAGGCUGUCAGUGGUUCUAGACACUCUCCAAUUUGUGCCGAAGUAUGCCAUGAAUUGUUGCUCGAAUUGCUCAAAAGAAUUGAUGCUUCCCGAUUGCAGCCCCGAGUACCACGCUCGUACGAUUUUUCAGAGUGUAACUAGAAAAGCAAUACAAAGAAGGACAUUAGAUACCUCAUGUAGAAGCAUGAGAGCUUUGUAUCUUCCAAGAUGAUCGAGUGGGUCAGUAGAGCCAUCGUAUGGCUCAAUUUGUGGUAUUUUGAAUCGAUUGGAAUUGGUUCGUCAAUGAUCCAUCUUCAGAAAGAAGGACUCGUAUUGACAUUGAACUUGUUGGUCGG